rnacentral:lncRNA from 1 species
UCAGCACUUAAAUUUCUACAAAACAGAAGUUUGUGCUAAUUAAAAAAAAAGAAAAAAAAAAUCAUGUAAACGCGCCAUAAGAGCUGCGGUCGUUUCCGUGAUUUGAACGCAUGGUGCUCGGUGAGUAUGGCUUAAAACGCAGAGGGAUACUCCAUCCGUCCGCAAGCACGGCGUCUGCCCACUGCGUAACCCGGGGACACAACGAGGGCUGCAGCCACCGCCUCCGGACGAGCUCAAGGUUAGGCGGGGGACAAAGGACUCCGAGCUGUUGCGAGAGGUAACGGCAAAGCUCCUGCAGCAGCUGCAAGAGGCUAAAACAGGAGAAUUUGCUGUGCUCCUUCCCAAAGACUCUCUUCAUUACGUUGCUCUUGUUCAGACUUGCUGGCAGCUUGAGUAUAAAACAUUUUUUGCAUUCACAUUGCCUUUCAUCCAAAGGGGAAAAAGCUAAGUAUUAUUUGUAUUAAUAAGAAAUAUUAUUUCCUUCACAGAUGGGGAAACAGAGACAGAUUAAAUGACUUAUCCAAAACGCCUAGCAAGUCAGUGGCCAAGAGAUGAGUACAACUAAGAAUCCCAGCUCUCAUCCUCUACUCUAAUCAGAGAAAAUAGCACUCCCGCUGUGCUUGUGAGUGCAGGAGAGAUCUACAGUGCAGAAGAAUUUUGCUUCCAGGAGAUAUCACUGACCACCAGGUCUGGUAACUGGCCACCUCUUGCCAAGUGUCAGGAAUAGCUUAAACUAGACUUGAACUAGUGAAACAGAAAGGAGAUUCUCCAGGAUCUGUAUGUUUCUACAUUACUACUGAUGUCAUCGCUUACGUCUGCUUAAAGUGGGCCGUGCAACAUCAUGAUGCAAUGCUCUAGAGGAUGCAGCGUCCCUGCCAGGGUUCAGACCACGAAGGACAGCUUAAAACAUACCAGCGUUCGACAAAUUCUGUGGAGGCAGGUAUUGGUUGCAGAGCUAUAUUUGAGAGUCUUUCAAGCAAUGUUAUCCAUGCAUCUCCCCACUGCACAGCCAGUCUAUUCAUGGCAGAGAUUUUCUUCCAAGCAGUGUGCUAUAUUUAUUUUUUGGUGGGAGAGAGAAUUUUUUUCAGAAACUGGGAUCACAAAAUAGAAGACUCAGUGAACUUGCUUCCCUUGCGCCAGGAACCGUUUGUGAAACAUACGGGAGAUGUUACCUGUUCUGGGAGGAUCUAACCAGCAGUAAAUGGUGUUGGAGGUGUCCAACUAUGCAGAAAGACAGUACUGAAUUGGGCCUCCUGUGUUUUAUUCCUAAUUCUAGAAGGCAGUGAAGUCUAAUAGAGGGCAGCCAGGGACUGGACUGUGGCAGCUUGGCUCCCUUUCUUGGCUGGGCCACUAACAUGGCAUGUUACUGCCACCUUUCCCUAUAGCAUAGGGAUGGAAAUAUUAGUCUCCCUCGUUGGGAGGGUAUGGAGUUGAAUUAAAACAUACCUGCAAUUCUCUAUGCAUCUCGAGUCUGGUAAAGCAGGAUGCCAAAAUGUAAACUCCAAUGAAUGUCAGAUGGGAAGGCCUGUAUAAUUUACAUGGCAGCAACCUGGAGACUCAAAAGACAAUAAUAAUCCCCCAAUAGCUCUACAGUCAUUUUGCUUUCAGUUGGGAACUCCAUUCUUUUCUGGUAAGGAAAAUUGGAGGAUGCAUUACCUGCAAUUCCCGUAUCACGGGACUCUUCUUCAGCUACUAAUCUUUCAUUCCUCCCCCCAGCCCACUUGUAAAUGCAGAAAUUUGCAAAACGGAGAACUACCUGAGCAGUCUUGCCAAGCUGCCGUGAAAAUCUAACGGCCUAAGCAGAAAGCAAGUUUGCCUCUUCUUGUGCUGGCCAGGUAAAAAUAGAAAACAACAAAAAGGUAUUUUACUCACCCAUGAAAAGGAAAGCUACUUGCCCCAGACAAGAACUGUAUGAUGCUGCACAGUAUGGUCCAGAGUUCAUUUUAUGAAUGAUAAUUAAUAAGAACAUAGCAUAUCAUAAAAUACACUUUUGCAAGGUAUAUGAUAAGUCUUCUGACAAGCGUGCACAGAAAUGCUCCGCAGUGUCUCCACGCAUAGACCCACUUACCAUUUCACAUGACACAGUACAUACUAAGACCUGAUUCUGCCCUCACUUACCCCAUGGACAAGUUGGAAAAUGUCUGGAUCAAAGUCACUAGCUUUACAUGGUACAAAACCAGAAUGAGAAGAGACGAGCUCCCAGUUCCCCUCAGCAGCAAAGGGCCAGGGGAGGAAUGAUUUCAAGCAUGGAAAGGCUGACAUGUCCUAGUUCAAAAUGAACAGUAGUAAGUGCUGUUCCUUCAGCUGACAUCAAACUGUUCACUGAUCAAAGGCAGCUGUAACCAUGUAUUUUCUGUUAUUACUCAACUUCUUCCUGUACAGCACUUUAGAUCCUGAUACUUGCUCACCCCACAUAACUAGGUGCUGCCUUAACACAUCAUCUAGGUACCUAACUUCAUCCUCCACAAACAGUUGCCAAUUGUUUUUGCUUAUUUCUAGGACAGAUGCACAGCUUCCAUUUUGCUAUUUCCAGUGUCUAAAACCAGGCAGUACAGGGAAUGGCAAGGAGGCUUGGAAAAGAAGAAAAAAGCAGAAAGAAAAAUGGAAAGAAGAAUUAAAAUUGAUGUUUUAAAAUACUAGAGGAAGUCCAGGACAUUCAUUUGACUUUGUAGCUCUUUUUGUAAUUACACACCCAAUGAGUCAAAGAGUACAUGAGAACUAAAUGUCAUAUACAUUUUGAAAUAGAAUAAAGUCUAAUUCAACAAGUGUUUGCUCCCA